CUACAUGAUGACAAUGAGUUCUAGCAACUCUAAUAUUUAUUAUAAACCCAGCUCUUCGACUUAAUCUGUUUCAUGAGAAGAAAAGGUGACAAACGCUCUGAAA
rnacentral:snoRNA from 1 species